UAAUACGUAGGUGGCAAGCGUUGUCCGGAUUUAUUGGGCGUAAAGCGAGCGCAGGCGGUUUUUUAAGUCUGAUGUGAAAGCCUUCGGCUCAACCGAAGAAGUGCAUCGGAAACUGGGAAACUUGAGUGCAGAAGAGGACAGUGGAACUCCAUGUGUAGCGGUGAAAUGCGUAGAUAUAUGGAAGAACACCAGUGGCGAAGGCGGCUGUCUGGUCUGUAACUGACGCUGAGGCUCGAAAGUAUGGGUAGCAAACAGGAUUAGAUACCCUGGUAGUCCAUACCGUAAACGAUGAAUGCUAAGUGUUGGAGGGUUUCCGCCCUUCAGUGCUGCAGCUAACGCAUUAAGCAUUCCGCCUGGGGAGUACGGCCGCAAGGCUG
rnacentral:rRNA from 1 species